GCGAUAUCAAAACCUUCAACUUCAAAGCCCUCAAACGAAAAAACCACCAAGAAAAACGACAUGGAGCUCUUGAAAUCUGAGGUGGCCACUUUUGCUUCCUCUCUCGGCCUCUCUUCUUCUUCUCUCCCCCUCCUCUGGUUUCAAUGAUGCCGAUUUUCGAAAAUCGGGUCCUUUGAAGAAACCAAAAUCCUCAAAGCAAAAAACCC
rnacentral:misc_RNA from 1 species